UGGGACUUGUAGUUCUCUUUCCUUCACGGGCGCCCCUCAGGAGCUGGGGCGUAGAGCGGGCUCAGCUCCUCUGUUGAGCCAGACUCUGGUGUCACGACUUCAUGACACGGAAGUGCCAACAUGGGCAUCCUGACAGGGCAGUGGCGGGAAAGCAUUCACCGUCGGGGAUGUCAUUCUGACACAUGAACUCGCUGCGUCAGAUCAGCAUACGGUGUCGACACAGUCUGAUGAUGUCAUAGCAACGUAUGAUGUCAGCACCACAAAGCAUGGUGACGUCAUGUCAAGCACACUACAAAGUGAUAUUUGCCACUUCAGAAUGUUCCCAUGGCACAUGCAAAAGUUCCAGAGUCCCAUGUGAUGUCACUCUGAAACCACGUUGUAGGUGAGAGAUGCUGUACUGAAGCAAGGUGGGGCAGUGUUGAAAUGGGAAGUCAAAUGGAAUGGUGCGUUGUCAUUAAAAGCAUCAUGUCACACCCAUCGUUUCUGCAGCCCAAGUGUUCUGUCAGGAUGUGUCAGUGGUGAGCAAGCUAGUAACACAGAACUUGCCCUAUAAAACAUGACAGUCUGGUCGACAAUACUGUUUAUAAAUUUCAGUUCUUCAGAACUACUUUUGGCUCUGGUCCUGCAAAGACUUAUGCAUGUGCUUAAUUUUAUGCACAGUGACCAAGCUCCUAACACUGCUGGCCCAGGCAUAAGUCCUUGCAGAAUCAGGACCUUUCCUGGUACAUUUUUGUAUCAUCAUCUUUUGCAAAGUGUGUGGAGGGGAGAGGUGUUUUUUUGUCUCUGUUCCAACUGUAAAAAACCGCAAGUGUAUUGAUGUCCGUCA